rnacentral:rRNA from 1 species
AACGAACGCUGGCGGCAGGCCUAACACAUGCAAGUCGAGCGAAGCCUUCGGGCUUAGCGGCGGACGGGUGAGUAACGCGUGGGAACGUGCCCUUUGGUACGGAAUAGCCCCGGGAAACUGGGAGUAAUACCGUAUGUGGUCGAGAGACGAAAGAUUUAUCGCCAAAGGAUCGGCCCGCGUUGAAUUAGGUAGUUGGUGGGGUAAUGGCCUACCAAGCCGACGAUCCAUAGCUGGUUUGAGAGGAUGAUCGGCCACACUGGGACUGAGACACGGCCCAGACUCCUACGAGAGGCAGCAGUGGGGAAUCUUAGACGAUGGGGGAAACCCUGAUCUAGCCAUGCCGCGUGAUCGAUGAAGGCCUUAGGGUUGUAAAGAUCUUUCAGUGGGGAAGAUAAUGACUGUACCCACAGAAGAAGCCCCGGCUAACUACGUGCCAGCCGCCGCGGUAACAC